rnacentral:lncRNA from 1 species
UUUGAACGGUUAUUUUUUCCCAUAUUAUUUCCCCCUCAAUUUUGUUACCCGCCAAAAUAAGCCUUAUUUAUUUUAGUUUUGAAUAAAUUUAAUAAUAAAAAUAUUAUGUAAAAGGGCUGCUUUUGCCCUUUCGCCCAUUAAAAUAUCGAUACAUCUGAUACCCCCCAAAAUUAAGAACCCUAGCGCAGAGUCUUAGCUUCUUCCAUUGUAUUGUAAACCUAGAGACUUCUUAGAUCGAUUGCAGUGCACUGGACCCUCAGAGACAACUCUUCGAUUGCAAACGCCAGUCUCUCCAAAAAUCUUCUUCAAUCGUUCACUCUAAGAAACCUGUUGAAUCUUCCUCUCUAUCGGAUUCCUCUCUCUCACUUUAUGAAAUUGGGUUAAUUGGUUUUUACAUACAAGUUUUAGUGAUUUAGUGGGUGUGACGAAAUUUUUGGUGUCGUGAAAUUUUGAGGCAUCUGAGAAAAUUUCCUCAAAAUGGGUGCUCUCCCCAAUCCCCAAAUCCAACACCAGUGAUUUUAGCCAUGUAAGUUAUUUUGAUACCUUUUUAACUCUUCAAUCUAUCCAUGGAGGUUGUCGAAUUGCUCUAGGGCUUGUGUAGCCUUAAGUUAUACUCCGAUUUGAUAACGUUUCUCUGCUUAAUCUUUCUGCUUUUCUUUUUUUUAUUUUAUUAUUUAUUUUCUUGUUAUCUGCUUUUCGUUUCCUUUUGGAUUUUUCUACUUUUCUGGUGAUAUUUUGAUAUUUGAUUCUUCAAUCAUCUUUAAGCUGGUUGUUUGAUUCUGCUGAAUUACAUCAUAAUUUUAAUUAAUUGAGUUAAUAUUGAAAAUUAAUAUAUUAACAUUCUUAUUGUUGAGUUGGCUAAUCGAUGGUUGCAGGAAAAGGGGUUAUUUUUUACCUAGAUGUGAGAUAAGAUGAGAUGUAGCAUUUAAUUUGACGGAUGGCUGAAGAACUUGCAAGAAUGUGAGAUUUAGUUUCUGGGGUGCACAGGGAUUUCUUAUGAAUAUAGAGCAGUCAACCUUGACAAAGGAGAAUAGUUCACUUCAGGUAUUAUGUUUGACUUUUUGCUAGUCAUUUUAUUGAAUUAAUUGGUCAGAAGUAUCAAAGGCUUAUCUUGAAAUGCAAUAUUGUGUUGAUAAAAGAAGAUGCAGAUAAUGAAUUCCACGAAAGCUCAUUACUUGUGGUGCACCGGAAUGUCUCAGCGGAUUCUUAAAUCGCGCCUGAAUGUUGGCUUAUCUUUCUCAUGUGAUAAUUAGUUAUUAUCUGCUUAACUAGACAUAGAGAUAGUAGCAGCUGCCACAAUUUGUUACAAUAAGCAUAUCAGAUGUGAUUGAUGGUUCAAUGUCAUGGUUCUUCCUAGUCUAUGCAACCCCUUUAGGUGGAGCUUUUGCUUAUAGUUCAUGAUAGUUCUUCCUAGUCUAUGCAAGCCCUUUAGGUGGAGCUUUUGCUUAUAGUUCAUGAUUACUUGUAAACAAAAAACUUAUAGCUCUUGAAUAUAAUAGUGAUGAACAUAAGUAGCAGCUACUUUCAAUAAAGAAUAUGAAUAAGCUGUUUGACUUAAAUUUUUUUAACAAUUAAAAAUAAGAUGUUUGACUGUUUUGGCAAAACUUAAAACACUAGCUUGUGUGGCUUAUGCCUCAUGAUUGUUAUAGACUUAAUAGUGAUGGCAGAACUAGCAGCUAAUUUCCUGAAGGGUAAGAAUAAGUUUGGCUCUUUCUGAUCAGUGUGACUGAUCAGAAGAACAAAACAAUGUCAUUGUCUGUGGGUUCUACAAACCCAGGAACCUUCAUGAGGUUACCAUAUCUGUCUGAAGUUCUUUACUUUGCCGGUACCAAUAAGAUCUCAUCUUCCCCAUUUUCAUCCACAAGAUAUCAUUUUCUCAGCAUAUCUUCCAAAUUUAUCUUAAAAAAGCAGCUGCUUUACAGGUCCUGAUAUCUAGUUUUUGUAGCUCAACCCUGCCCUCAACAAAGAAUUGUCCAAUUGACCUUUCUCUGAUAUGACUAAGAUUACCCCUCUCUACGAUGAUAUAUGCCCAUUUAAUCAUGCACUUUUUUUGGUAAGGAUGCUGGGCUGGUAUCCUAGAUUCCUUAUAUGCGAAGAAAUAUCCUUUCGGUAAUUAAUAGAGGUUGUGAGUUCGAGUUUCCCCAAAAGCAAUGUGGGAAGUUCUUGGAGGGAAGGAUGCCGGAGGUCUAUUUGGAAACAGCCUCUCUACNNNNN